CAUAUUGUGAGCUCGAUGAGUAGGGCGGGACACGUGGUAUCCUGUCUGAAUAUGGGGGGACCAUCCUCCAAGGCUAAAUACUCCUGACUGACCGAUAGUGAACCAGUACCGUGAGGGAAAGGCGAAAAGAACCCCGGCGAGGGGAGUGAAAAAGAACCUGAAACCGUGUACGUACAAGCAGUGGGAGCACGCUUAGGCGUGUGACUGCGUACCUUUUGUAUAAUGGGUCAGCGACUUAUAUUCUGUAGCAAGGUUAACCGAAUAGGGGAGCCGAAGGGAAACCGAGUCUUAACUGGGCGUUAAGUUGCAGGGUAUAGACCCGAAACCCGGUGAUCUAGCCAUGGGCAGGUUGAAGGUUGGGUAACACUAACUGGAGGACCGAACCGACUAAUGUUGAAAAAUUAGCGGAUGACUUGUGGCUGGGGGUGAAAGGCCAAUCAAACCGGGAGAUAGCUGGUUCUCCCCGAAAGCUAUUUAGGUAGCGCCUCGUGAAUUCAUCUCCGGGGGUAGAGCACUGUUUCGGCAAGGGGGUCAUCCCGACUUACCAACCCGAUGCAAACUGCGAAUACCGGAGAAUGUUAUCACGGGAGACACACGGCGGGUGCUAACGUCCGUCGUGAAGAGGGAAACAACCCAGACCGCCAGCUAAGGUCCCAAAGUCAUGGUUAAGUGGGAAACGAUGUGGGAAGGCCCAGACAGCCAGGAUGUUGGCUUAGAAGCAGCCAUCAUUUAAAGAAAGCGUAAUAGCUCACUGGUCGAGUCGGCCUGCGCGGAAGAUGUAACGGGGCUAAACCAUGCACCGAAGCUGCGGCAGCGACGCUGAUGCGUUGUUGGGUAGGGGAGCGUUCUGUAAGCCUGUGAAGGUGUGCUGUGAGGUAUGCUGGAGGUAUCAGAAGUGCGAAUGCUGACAUAAGUAACGAUAAAGCGGGUGAAAAGCCCGCUCGCCGGAAGACCAAGGGUUCCUGUCCAACGUUAAUCGGGGCAGGGUGAGUCGACCCCUAAGGCGAGGCCGAAAGGCGUAGUCGAUGGGAAACAGGUUAAUAUUCCUGUACUUGGUGUUACUGCGAAGGGGGGACGGAGAAGGCUAUGUUGGCCGGGCGACGGUUGUCCCGGUUUAAGCGUGUAGGCUGGUUUUCCAGGCAAAUCCGGAAAACUAAGGCUGAGGCGUGAUGACGAGGCACUACGGUGCUGAAGCAACAAAUGCCCUGCUUCCAGGAAAAGCCUCUAAGCAUCAGGUAACAUCAAAUCGUACCCCAAACCGACACAGGUGGUCAGGUAGAGAAUACCAAGGCGCUUGAGAGAACUCGGGUGAAGGAACUAGGCAAAAUGGUGCCGUAACUUCGGGAGAAGGCACGCUGAUAUGUAGGUGAAGUCCCUCGCGGAUGGAGCUGAAAUCAGUCGAAGAUACCAGCUGGCUGCAACUGUUUAUUAAAAACACAGCACUGUGCAAACACGAAAGUGGACGUAUACGGUGUGACGCCUGCCCGGUGCCGGAAGGUUAAUUGAUGGGGUCAGCGCAAGCGAAGCUCUUGAUCGAAGCCCCGGUAAACGGCGGCCGUAACUAUAACGGUCCUAAGGUAGCGAAAUUCCUUGUCGGGUAAGUUCCGACCUGCACGAAUGGCGUAAUGAUGGCCAGGCUGUCUCCACCCGAGACUCAGUGAAAUUGAACUCGCUGUGAAGAUGCAGUGUACCCGCGGCAAGACGGAAAGACCCCGUGAACCUUUACUAUAGCUUGACACUGAACAUUGAGCCUUGAUGUGUAGGAUAGGUGGGAGGCUUUGAAGUGUGGACGCCAGUCUGCAUGGAGCCGACCUUGAAAUACCACCCUUUAAUGUUUGAUGUUCUAACGUUGACCCGUAAUCCGGGUUGCGGACAGUGUCUGGUGGGUAGUUUGACUGGGGCGGUCUCCUCCUAAAGAGUAACGGAGGAGCACGAAGGUUGGCUAAUCCUGGUCGGACAUCAGGAGGUUAGUGCAAUGGCAUAAGCCAGCUUGACUGCGAGCGUGACGGCGCGAGCAGGUGCGAAAGCAGGUCAUAGUGAUCCGGUGGUUCUGAAUGGAAGGGCCAUCGCUCAACGGAUAAAAGGUACUCCGGGGAUAACAGGCUGAUACCGCCCAAGAGUUCAUAUCGACGGCGGUGUUUGGCACCUCGAUGUCGGCUCAUCACAUCCUGGGGCUGAAGUAGGUCCCAAGGGUAUGGCUGUUCGCCAUUUAAAGUGGUACGCGAGCUGGGUUUAGAACGUCGUGAGACAGUUCGGUCCCUAUCUGCCGUGGGCGCUGGA
rnacentral:rRNA from 1 species